rnacentral:rRNA from 1 species
GACGAACGCUGGCGGCGUGCUUAACACAUGCAAGUCGAACGGAAAGGCCCUGCUUUUGUGGGGUGCUCGAGUGGCGAACGGGUGAGUAACACGUGAGUAACCUGCCCUUGACUUUGGGAUAACUUCAGGAAACUGGGGCUAAUACCGGAUAUGAGCUCCUGCUGCAUGGUGGGGGUUGGAAAGUUUCGGCGGUUGGGGAUGGACUCGCGGCUUAUCAGCUUGUUGGUGGGGUAGUGGCUUACCAAGGCUUUGACGGGUAGCCGGCCUGAGAGGGUGACCGGCCACAUUGGGACUGAGAUACGGCCCAGACUCCUACGGGAGGCAGCAGUGGGGAAUAUUGCACAAUGGGCGGAAGCCUGAUGCAGCAACGCCGCGUGCGGGAUGACGGCCUUCGGGCUGUAAACCGCUUUCGCCUGUGACGAAGCGUGAGUGACGGUAAUGGGUAAAGAAGCACCGGCUAACUACGUG